GCCUGGGUGGCUCAGUCGGUUAAGCGUCCGACUUCAGCUCAGGUCAUGACCUCAUGGCUUGCGGGUUCGAGCCCCGCUUUGGGCU
rnacentral:tRNA from 1 species